GGAUGAAAGAAGUGGUAGAUAAAUUAAUGAGUAGGGCCAAAGGGUUGCAGCAAAGAGAAGCCAAGUCUAUGGCAAACACUAAUGGAGAUAUAAUAAUGAUGGAUACAUCUGACAUGUUCAUCGAUAUCUUCCCCAUAAGUCUAGGGAGAUGAGCUUGUGAAAAGGUGAGUGGGGACAUGGCAGGGCAGGUAGCAGAAGAAGCAAAGUCGUCUAUGAAAGAGAGGAAGAAAUUGGAUGCAGGUUUUGCCCAUUUUUGAAUCAGAAAUUCCUGUUUGUACAAACUUCUUUUUCUUUUUUGUAUUAAUUUAUGUAUUUAUGUUUGAAAUGA